CCGCCCAUUUUCAGCUCUUGUUGAAAAUGAAAAGAGUGUUGAAUUAUACGAGACAUGCACACUAGCCGACAAAUAAAGAUCAAAACAUUCAAAAUAGUAUAAAGUGGGCGUGGCCUAGUAGGAUAUGAGAGAAGCAAAAGGGGGAGGAGAAACAGAGUGAGAGACCUCCCCGCGACGCUAUUUCGAAAAACAACCUCCUCCAGCACUCACGUUCGUCCGUUCAU
ensembl:ncRNA C34D1.6 ncRNA